UUAAGUCCUCUUUGCCUAGUCCAUAGGGUUCUGGGCAUUUGUGUAAGAAUUGGAGAACAAGGUAGGUAGUUUAUUUGCUGGAAGCAGUUUCUUUGUAUCAACCUCAGGUUCCUGGCCACAGUGGAUGUAGAAAAGUGCCUAAGUCCUAACGGAUUUCAGAAGGAAAAAAAUUAAGAAUUCCUAAUGAUUCCAUUUCUGUAUGUAAAUUCCAAAAGGAUCCAUUGAUUAUUUUUCUUUGUUUAUUCAUCUGAUUGCUAUCCUUUGAAUUUUUUACAUAUAGGGGGAAUUCUUCUAGGUUGAAAGACUGUGGGAAACUUGUAGGCUUCUAUUUUUCAAAACUUACUCUAAUAACAAUUCUUAAAUGCUUCAACCAUCAAAGAUAGGGGAGGAAAUGGCUAAUAGGACAAGGGGGACAUGGGCCUGUUUAGAAGUAGUUCCUUGGGGUGGUCCCAGUCUUCACUGUCUAUAAUUCAGUCCACUAGCAAAACACCAAAUACAAAUUAACAGCAGUGGCUUGAUCCAGAAGAAACUGUGAGGUUCUACAGAUUGGUGUGGUACCCCAAAGCAGCAAGGGGAAACCAGCAAGAAGUAACCAGAAUACCACCAGAAGUUCUUUGGUAUCCUUCUCUCUAUGAAGUCACAACAAGUGAAGAUUAGCAAAGAAAGCAAGGUGAUCCAAUGCCAGAGAGUCAUCAGUGGUCUGUUGGGUUAUACUUAUACUCUUUCCAAACAUAGUAUGUUCUUUCAAGCAUCCACUCCAUCAAAACAUCAAAUGCCCUUCACCAGACAGCUUCACCAUGUGUCUGUUCUCAGCCAAACAUCCUCUCAUGUAUCUACUAGAGCAAAACAUCCUCCCAUAUGUCUGCUUGAGCAAAACAUUCUCUCAUAAGACCAUUUCCAGAAAAACAAC
rnacentral:lncRNA from 1 species